UAGGGAAUCUUCCGCAAUGGACGAAAGUCUGACGGAGCAACGCCGCGUGAGUGAAGAAGGAUUUCGGUUCGUAAAACUCUGUUGUUAGGGAAGAAAAAAUGUAUAGUAACUAUAUAUAAAAGUGACGGUACUUAACCAGAAAGCCACGGCUAACUACGUGCCAGCAGCCGCGGUAAUACGUAGGUGGCAAGCGUUGUCCGGAAUUAUUGGGCGUAAAGCGCGCGCAGGUGGUUUAGAAAGUCCGAUGUGAAAGCCCACGGCUCAACCGUGGAGGGUCAUUGGAAACUAAUAAACUUGAGUGCAGGAGAGAAAAGUGGAAUUCCUAGUGUAGCGGUGAAAUGCGUAGAGAUUAGGAGGAACACCGGUGGCGAAGGCGGCUUUUUGGCCUGCAACUGACACUGAGGCGCGAAAGCGUGGGGAGCAAACAGG
rnacentral:rRNA from 1 species